rnacentral:rRNA from 1 species
GAUGAACGCUGGCGGCGUGCCUAAUACAUGCAAGUCGAGCGAACAGACGAGGAGCUUGCUCCUCUGACGUUAGCGGCGGACGGGUGAGUAACACGUGGAUAACCUACCUAUAAUACUGGGAUAACUUCGGGAAACCGGAGCUAAUACCGGAUAAUAUAUUGAACCGCAUGGUUCAAUAGUGAAAGACGGUUUUGCUGUCACUUAUAGAUGGAUCCGCGCCGCAUUAGCUAGUUGGUAAGGUAACGGCUUACCAAGGCAACGAUGCGUAGCCGACCUGAGAGGGUGAUCGGCCACACUGGAACUGAGACACGGUCCAGACUCCUACGGGAGGCAGCAGUAGGGAAUCUUCCGCAAUGGGCGAAAGCUUGACGGAGCAACGCCGCGUGAGUGAUGAAGGUCUUCGGAUCGUAAAACUCUGUUAUUAGGGAAGAACAAAUGUGUAAGUAACUAUGCACGUCUUGACGGUACCUAAUCAGUAAGCCACGGCUAACUACGUG